rnacentral:rRNA from 1 species
GGGUUGUGAGGUUAAGCGACUAAGCGUACACGGUGGAUGCCCUGGCAGUCAGAGGCGAUGAAGGACGUGCUAAUCUGCGAUAAGCGCCGGUAAGGUGAUAUGAACCGUUAUAACCGGCGAUUUCCGAAUGGGGAAACCCAGUGUGACUCGUCACACUAUCAUUAACUGAAUCCAUAGGUUAAUGAGGCGAACCGGGGGAACUGAAACAUCUAAGUACCCCGAGGAAAAGAAAUCAACCGAGAUUCCCCCAGUAGCGGCGAGCGAACGGGGAGGAGCCCAGAGCCUGAAUCAGCAUGUGUGUUAGUGGAAGCGUCUGGAAAGGCGCGCGAUACAGGGUGACAGCCCCGUACACAAAAGCGCAUGUGCUGUGAGCUCGAUGAGUAGGGCGGGACACGUGGUAUCCUGUCUGAAUAUGGGGGGACCAUCCUCCAAGGCUAAAUACUCCUGACUGACCGAUAGUGAACCAGUACCGUGAGGGAAAGGCGAAAAGAACCCCGGCGAGGGGAGUGAAAAAGAACCUGAAACCGUGUACGUACAAGCAGUGGGAGCACAGGUUUACCUGUGUGACUGCGU